CACUCACAUUAGCUAGGGUGUCCUUCAGAUCUGUUCAAAGCACAUUUACAGACGACUUGCUGAAUCCAUCAUCCACAGCUUUUAAAAAUCGAGAUGCAUUGAUAACAGGACAGCUUGAACCGGUCUUCAAAACAACAUUCCCCUCCUUCAGUGCCUUGAAAGUGGUGUCAUUCAGGUAAUUUCAUUUAUUUUCAGGUAAUAUAAUUUAGGAAUAGUGGACUUAAUCUGAUUUUUCAAACUAUAUUAUGGGUUUCUCUUUUUGCAGUAGUGGAUCAGUCAUCAACACCAUGGACCUUAGCUUUGUGGGUACACUUGCUCCUAUAACAUUCAGAUUACAAGCGCUUUGAUCAAAGUAGCUUCAAGCGUCAGCGGCUUCGACAUUGAAGGCAGCUCCAUCAGCGUGAAUGGCAUCUCUUCGGAUGGAGUAAUCCACAAAAUCAGUCUUGUCACUGCAUCCUGCCUGGUACUGUUGUCAUGGCUAUUGUAAAGCAAGCAAUAACAUCUGUGCUGAUUCCAUUUUAAUUUAAAGUCAUAAAGUCAUGACAGUUAAGACUGAUUGGACAAGGGAACCUAAUAUCCAAAAUUCAUUAUUGCCUUAUAGCUUUGACAGCUUUGGAUAAAUUUACUAUCAAAUGUAACUUUGCAAAACCCCUAGAGAGGUUAAUCAAUGGGGCAAUAGAAAAUAUAGGACAAAU